GACGAACGCUGGCGGCGUGCUUAACACAUGCCAGUCGAACGGAAAGGCCCUGCUUUUGUGGGGUGCUCGAGUGGCGAACGGGUGAGUAACACGUGAGUAACCUGCCCUUGACUUUGGGAUAACUUCAGGAAACUGGGGCUAAUACCGGAUAGAAGCUCCUGCUGCAUGGUGGGGGUUGGAAAGUUUCGGCGGUUGGGGAUGGACUCGCGGCUUAUCAGCUUGUUGGUGGGGUAGUGACUUACCAAGGCUUUGACGGGUAGCCGGCCUGAGAGGGUGACCGGCCACAUUGGGACUGAGAGACGGCCCAGACUCCUACGGGAGGCAGCAGUGGGGAAUAUUGCACAAUGGGCGGAAGCCUGAUGCAGCAACGCCGCGUGCGGGAUGACGGCCUUCGGGUUGUAAACCGCUUUCGCCUGUGACGAAGCGUGAGUGACGGUAAUGGGUAAAGAAGCACCGGCUAACUACGUG
rnacentral:rRNA from 1 species